rnacentral:lncRNA from 1 species
CCAUAAAAAUAGAAAUUGUUUUUGGGGACUGAAUCUGUCGCGACGCCACCUAGAGUCUCUAGAAUUCGGUGAUUAAACGUUAAUCCGUUUGUCGAGGUUUAUGUUGAUUUUACGUGGAGGGUGAUUAGGUGGGAUAUUAGGGUGCAGCGACGACGAAGCACCUGAUAUCCAGUUUAAAAAGAAAAAGAAGACAAAAACUUUAAGGAAAUACGAAGCAAAAGACAUUGACAGCGAGGGAGAGAAAAUGUUCGUCAGGGAGAAAGUCGAGGAAACAAAGAUUAUUCAGAAACUCCGCGAGAGACCGCCUGGCGUCAAUAUUAUCGGUUUGGCGCUCGGAGAAAGUGUUGUAUCCAAUGUGUUUCGGAUCCUUUUAAUAUGAAAACUGGAGGAAAAUAUGACUGUGCUGAAGAAUACAAAAUAUAAGCUGAAUGACUCGUAGGACACCAGCAUUAGAACUCAAUUUAAUAUGGAGACCAAUAAAUGCGACGAAGAAAUGGUCAAUUAUGUAGAAGAAUUGUCGAAGUGUAAGAGUAAAAAUAAUAAUGAUGCAAUGAAUAGUACGAAUAAUGAUAAAGGAUCAUAUUGCUUGCUAGAGGAAACAGCAUUGCGUACAAUACUAGAUGCAAGUUAAGCGAGAAAAUUUGAGGAGUGAUUUUGGUCUAGGAGCAGGAAUGUUGGGCGAAUUACCUUGUUAACAGUAACUUGGUAGCUAGGAAGGAAGCCAGUGUAGUCACGAUGUCGCCCAAUAAAUAGCACACAGGAUAUGACAAAGUUUGAGGGAAGAGAAUAACACGCGACUGAGUUAUUCAAACAACCAAAAUACAAUAAAUUAUGCAACAAGCGAUAACGAAAUGGCAUCUAGACAGCGUUUGGCGGACAUAAAGGAAAGAAAGGAAGAGAUGGAAGCAGUUUCUUCCGAAAUUUUUGAUAAUGAAAAUAUUCUGAGAGAAGAUUAAGCACAAAAUCGUCACAUUCUUUUCAAUUAAAACGACGAAGAAGAAGACUAAUAUGGCCUAUAAUACUGAGUAUUCUAUUUUUCUUUCUCCUCUUUCAAGUGAUUCGUGGUAACGAACCACAUAGUAAUUCAUGUUUGUCAAAAUCAGCGAUUAAACAAGCUAAUCGACUAUAUUAUCAAGAGAUACCGUAUUAUCAAGAGAUACAGAUGAAGAAAGCGACUUCUCACCCUAUGUGAUUUUCUUGUUCGCCUGAUCUAGCUGUAUCAUUAAAAUAAGUAGCAAGAUUAUGUGUAUAUUGUAACGUAUGUCAAUUACGGAAAGGCUGAAUAUAAUUGCAGAGUUUAUUUCACCUUUUAAAUGUUGUCACUUUGCAACCGUAAGUGCUGCGAUUGAGAUUUCUUGGUUCCUUGUUGGUAGCAACAACUGUCAUCUCGUAAUCAUUAUUCUACAUGCAUGAUGGAAAAGGUGCGAUUGCGUACUCAAUGCCAAUGUAAUUAAUUACUGUGAUUUCUUCUGUUCGAUACUUUAAUUUUGUAAUUGUAAUUUAAAUUUAAGAAUCAAGAAACAAAAAAAACAAUACAAUAUUACGAUAAUUUUAUUUCUAUUCGCAUAUAUAUAUUAUAUAUAUCAUCCAUCGAGAGGCAUCCAUUAAAUUAUGUGCAUUCCAGUAA